GCUUACGGCCAUACCACCCUGAACACGCCCGAUCUCGUCAGAUCUCGGAAGCUAAGCAGGGUCGGCCUGGUUAGUACUUGGAUGGAGACCGCCUGAAUACCAGGUGCUGUAAGCU
rnacentral:rRNA from 1 species